rnacentral:ncRNA from 1 species
CAUUGGUUCACGUACAAACGUGAUGAAAAGGGAACCGGGUGAGAAUCCUGGACAGUCCCGCUGCUGUGUGCAGUCCUUCAUGGGGCGAACAAUCGUGUCACUGACAUUUUUCGGGAAGACCGUUCGCUGCCUGACUGCGAGCCAGAAGACCUGCCAUUGCUAUAG